UACGAAGGGGGCUAGCGUUGCUCGGAAUCACUGGGCGUAAAGAGCGCGUAGGCGGUCCGGUAAGUCGGCUGUGAAAGUCAAGGGCUCAACCCUUGAAAGCCGGCCGAUACUGUCGGACUAGAGUCCGGAAGAGGCGAGUGGAAUUCCCGGUGUAGCGGUGAAAUGCGCAGAUAUCAGGAAGAACACCAGUGGCGAAGGCGGCUCACUGGACUGGUAUUGACGCUCAGGCACGAAAGCGUGGGGAGCAAACAGG
rnacentral:rRNA from 1 species